UACGAAGGGGGCUAGCGUUGUUCGGAUUUACUGGGCGUAAAGGGCGCGUAGGCGGCGCGACAAGUCACUUGUGAAAUCUCUGGGCUCAACCCAGAACGGUCAAGUGAUACUGUCGUGCUAGAGUGCGGAAGGGGCAACUGGAAUUCUUGGUGUAGCGGUGAAAUGCGUAGAUAUCAAGAGGAACACCUGCGGCGAAGGCGGGUUGCUGGGCCGACACUGACGCUGAGGCGCGAAAGCUAGGGGAGCGAACGGG
rnacentral:rRNA from 1 species